rnacentral:rRNA from 1 species
AGAUUCUCAAAGAAAUUGGCGGGGGCGCACAAGCGGAGGAACAUGUGGUUUAAUUCGAUGAUACGCGAGGAACCUUACCCGGGCUUGAAAUGCGUCUGACAGUCGGAGAGAUCCGAUCUCCCUUCGGGGCAGACGUGUAGGUGCUGCAUGGUUGUCGUCAGCUCGUGCCGUGAGGUGUCGGCUUAGGUGCCAUAACGAGCGCAACCCUCAUCGUUAGUUGCCAUCAAGUAGUGCUGGGGACUCUAACGAGACUGCCAUCGUAAGAUGCGAGGAAGGUGGGGAUGACGUCAAAUCAGCACGGCCCUUACGUCCGGGGCGACACACGUGUUACAAUGGGUGGUACAAAGGGCAGCUACAUGGCGACAUGAUGCCAAUCCCCAAAACCACUCUCAGUUCGGAUCGGAGUCUGCAACUCGACUCCGUGAAGCUGGAUUCGCUAGUAAUCGCGCAUCAGCCACGGCGUGGUGAAUACGCUCCCGCCCUUGCACACACCGCCCGAAUCUGUCCCCGCUC